AUGCUCUCUUUAACAUCACAUAUACUAAAGUUAGAAUGAUGCAGAGAAGAUUAGAAUGGCCCCUGCACAAGGAUUUCACGCAAAUUUGUGACUCAUUCAAUAUUUUU
ensembl:snRNA U6 U6 spliceosomal RNA